rnacentral:tRNA from 1 species
GCCCUAGUAGCUUAGCAUACAGAAAGCAUUGGCCUUGUAAACCAAAGACGGACGUUGAUCCCUAGAGCA